UGAACUCCAAUCCGCCCACGGCUACAACAUAAUUGCCUCACAGCUCAAACGCCGACACUUAAAAACUAACGGAGCUAGUGUAAAAGCUUUUUACGGCGAGAAAGCAUUUUUAAAAGCGUUUUCUCACCUCCUGAACUCCUCGUAGGGGUUUUAUUACAGGGCACCGAGACCCUUAACCGAAAGUCUUCAGCAAGGGCUUUGAGGCACGUACCAAUUUUAGAGACGAGCGCUGAGUAAAAUAAGGAAGCCCCGCGCAAACACGGCGUGCGCGGGAUGAGCCCCGCGCCGCCGGCCGCCGCUCCCAGUAUCCCGACCUCUCCAGAGGCGCCUGUCCGACUUAGGCCCCGACCCCCGACCCACGCGCGCGCCCACCUCGCCCUCAGGAAUCCGAAAAGCGGCAGGGCCUGGCCUGACGACGGGCGGGUAGGCCGGCCGGCUGGCUGGAGAGAAAGCAGCGGGGCCGGACGCAGCGCAGGAGCCCCCACCUUUAAGGCCUAAAGCAGACUCAUAGGAUAUGGAUGUAUUCUCUGCUGGUAGUCUUUUCUUCAUGAAGCCCCGGCUGUGACAGCUGACAUCAAAUAAAUGGACCCAAGAGUAGAGAUUCCUCCUCCUUGGCAAUCACAACCUCUUCUAGCAAUGCCAUGUAACUGAGCCAAGACUCUUCUCUAAACCUUUUUGUUACUUACACAUGCGUCCCAUUUAUCAAAGAAAAAAUUGUCACUUUAUACUUGAGGAAAAUUUUCAUAAAAAUUUAAUGUUUCAUGAGUUUAUAUGAAAAUACUGUAUUAUCAGUGAAACACUUUAUGUGCUUAUCUGUAAUGAAUGUUUAAUAAAGUGUUAAACUAUUUGGGGUUGAUUUUGUAUGCUGCCUUUUCUCCUAAAGUUUGACGAUUUCUUCCUAACUCCCUUCAUUUGUAAAAUUGGUAAACUAAAUUUAAAGCUCUGAUCAAUAGUUAAACUUACUUUGUGAAAAAGACUUGCACUAAAAAAAGCACA